CAAUAACUAGGCAGCAAAUCUUGAUUUCCUUUGUCUUUAUUUUUUGCAAUGAUGAUUGAUGAUUUCUUGAGCCUGAAAAUAGAAAACUCAUUUGAUUAGAUCUCAUACACAAUCAAACUUUUUGUGAGGUGAGGCUCACUUCGUUCAAUGAUCUUGGUUCGAUGAUCUUGCUUCUGAGUUUCAAAGACUAUGUAAACAUGGGAUUACGAAAAACAGUUUAUAGGUGAGCCUCACUUCUUUUGAGGAUAUUGCUUGUCUUUCACAAAGGUAAAGAAAUGUUUUCCUAAAGGUAUUUAUUUUGGUUGGUUUUUUCUACAACAGCAUAUCAGUACAUAAAAAUGAGAUUGCAUAUAUUGCUUCCACCUUUAUAACACCCUCAUUCAAAUAGGGAUUUAAAUUUAUGACCUUAUUAAAAAAUUCUUUCAAGGUUACUAAUGUGUUGGCAGCUAUGGCCAAGGAAGUAGUAUUUGAGAAGAGCAUACACUACACUACUAAUGAAGAGAGCAAAGUUUUAAAGACUUUGACAUGUGAAUAAAGAAGCAAUUUAUCAUGUCACUUGCUUAAAUCAAAUUCGGAAAAUAACAAGGCAUAACCAAUCAAGUUCAUAGACAUAUGAUGCUAAGCGUGUCUCCCAUUGGAGCACUUAUCAACUUAUUAAGCUCAACUCUUACUUUGUUUUCCCAAUGGAAAAAUGUUUAUGUGGUAGGCAUGAUUGUUUCAAUUUAAGGAUUUUUUUUUAAAAGGAAUUUAAGGACUGUCUUUGAUUAAAGAGUGGUUGCUUAAAAUAAAUGAACUAAAUCCAUUAAAUAUGAACCUUUGGGGUUAAAAGUGAUUGAAAUCUUAAAAGAGCUUUGGCAUAAGUAAAUGGAGGUGAUGUUUACCUUGAGU